rnacentral:tRNA from 1 species
GGGCCAUUAGCUCAGCUGGUUAGAGCAGCGGACUCAUAAUCCGUUGGUCGAAGGUUCAAGUCCUUCAUGGCCCA